rnacentral:rRNA from 1 species
AACGAACGCUGGCGGCAGGCUUAACACAUGCAAGUCGAACGCCCCGCCAGGGGAGUGGCAGACGGGUGAGUAACGCGUGGGAAUCUACCCAUCCCUACGGAAUAACGCAUGGAAACGUGUGCUAAUACCGUAUACGCCCUACGGGGGAAAGAUUUAUCGGGGAUGGAUGAGCCCGCGUUGGAUUAGCUAGUUGGUGGGGUAAAGGCCUACCAAGGCGACGAUCCAUAGCUGGUCUGAGAGGAUGAUCAGCCACAUUGGGACUGAGACACGGCCCAAACUCCUACGGGAGGCAGCAGUGGGGAAUAUUGGUCAAUGGGCGCAAGCCUGAUCCAGCCAUGCCGCGUGAGUGAUGAAGGCCUUAGGGUUGUAAAGCUCUUUCACCGGAGAAGAUAAUGACGGUAUCCGGAGAAGAAGCCCCGGCUAACUUCGUG